rnacentral:rRNA from 1 species
GGUUUUUUGGUUUAAGAUAAAAAAUCGGGCCUGCCCAGUGAUAAGGAAUUUAACGGCCGCGAUAAUUUAAUCGUGCGAAGGUAGCAUAAUCAGUUGUCUAUUAAUUGUAGACUGGAAUGAAGGGUUUGACUUAAAAUAUAUUGUCUUGGUAUUGAAAUGAAUUUUUUAUUUUUAUGAAGAGAUAAAGAUGAAAUAGAGGGACGAGAAGACCCUUUUAAGCUUUAUAAGAAGGUUUAAGAUAAUGAAUAGUGUAAAAGGAUAGAUUACUUAUUUUACUGGGGCGGUAGAUAUUAAAUAAAACAAUUUAAAAGGUAUAGGCUUAUUAGCGAGUUAGAGAUCCAAUUUUUUUGAGAGGAAGACUAAGUUACUAUAGGGAUAACAGCGUAAUUUUAUUUAAAAGUUCAUAUUAAUGAUGAAGUUUGCGACCUCGAUGUUGGUUUAGGAUACCUUAUAGGCGAAGGAGAUUAAGAAGGUAGUCUGUUCGACUAUUAAAUUCCUAUA